CGUAACAGUAAACAUGAAUUUCGAUCUGAUAAAUUGGGUCCACUUUUCCCUGUACCUUGCACUUCCUACGAAGCUUGUUCAAGGAAAUUGACCAACAUCAGGGUCAUGAUUAAUGAGAGAUUUCUGGAAGGAAGAGGAUACCAAUUAAUACCGCAGUAGAGGAAGGGGAAAAAAACAAGAACACGGGAGAAUAAUAAUAAUAAUAAUCCACGCUCGGUGGCAGCUUGUGGAAAUUGGGGGAACGAGGGCGUCUGAUUGAGAAGCAAAGCAUUUAAAGUGGCGGUAAUCGUGCACGCAAGCACACGAGGUAACAUACACAUGUAGCACACAUGGAUGGGACCCACUGCUGUCCAAACAUAGGCUUACAGCCCUGCAAGAAUCAAUGAUGGAGUAACCCUUCUUUUUCAUUGGUUCAAAAGCACUUGUGGUCAAACCCUCCAAACCCAGAGCCUUGUGAUAGGGUUUGUGUGAAUACGCUUUCACAGAGUUUUUUAACAGUAGUGUAAAUUGGGUUGUAAUUUAAAAGGGGAUCAAGCCCAGGUUUACGAGCAUUGAGGACUUGCAAGUUCUGAAAGGGUCCAAGGUAAAUACAGUAAUAACCCAACCCGACCCGACCCAUAUUCUGGUUGUGCUGCAAAGUGUGAGUGGGAAAUGGGA